rnacentral:rRNA from 1 species
GACGAACGCUGGCGGCGUGCUUAACACAUGCAAGUCGAACGGAAAGGCCCUGCUUGCAGGGUACUCGAGUGGCGAACGGGUGAGUAACACGUGGGUGAUCUGCCCUGCACUUCGGGAUAAGCCUGGGAAACUGGGUCUAAUACCGGAUAGGAGCCAUUUUUAGUGUGAUGGUUGGAAAGUUUUUUCGGUGUAGGAUGAGCUCGCGGCCUAUCAGCUUGUUGGUGGGGUAAUGGCCUACCAAGGCGGCGACGGGUAGCCGGCCUGAGAGGGUGGACGGCCACAUUGGGACUGAGAUACGGCCCAGACGCCUACGGGAGGCAGCAGUGGGGAAUAUUGCACAAUGGGCGCAAGCCUGAUGCAGCGACGCCGCGGGGGGGAUGACGGCCUUCGGGUUGUAAACUCCUUUCGCUAGGGACGAAGCUUUUUGUGACGGUACCUAGAGAAGAAGCACCGGCUAACUACGUG